AUUUAAAUAGCUUAUAAUUAAAGUGUAAUAUUGAAGAUAUUAAGAAAAUUUUAAAAUUUUUAAAUA
rnacentral:tRNA from 1 species